UACGUAGGGUGCGAGCGUUGUCCGGAAUUACUGGGCGUAAAGAGCUCGUAGGUGGUUUGUCGCGUUGUUCGUGAAAACUCACAGCUUAACUGUGGGCGUGCGGGCGAUACGGGCAGACUGGAGUACUGCAGGGGAGACUGGAAUUCCUGGUGUAGCGGUGGAAUGCGCAGAUAUCAGGAGGAACACCGGUGGUGUAGACGGCUCUCUGGACCGUAACUGACGCUGAAGCACGAAAGCGUGGGUAGCAAACGGG
rnacentral:rRNA from 1 species